UGCAAGUCGAGCGGUAGCACAGAGAGCUUGCUCUCGGGUGACGAGCGGCGGACGGGUGAGUAAUGUCUGGGAAACUGCCUGAUGGAGGGGGAUAACUACUGGAAACGGUAGCUAAUACCGCAUAACGUCUCAAGACCAAAGUGGGGGACCUUCGGGCCUCAUGCCAUCAGAUGUGCCCAGAUGGGAUUAGCUAGUAGGUGGGGUAAUGGCUCACCUAGGCGACGAUCCCUAGCUGGUCUGAGAGGAUGACCAGCCACACUGGAACUGAGACACGGUCCAGACUCCUACGGGAGGCAGCAGUGGGGAAUAUUGCACAAUGGGCGCAAGCCUGAUGCAGCCAUGCCGCGUGUAUGAAGAAGGCCUUCGGGUUGUAAAGUACUUUCAGCGAGGAGGAAGGCGUUAAGGUUAAUAACCUUGGUGAUUGACGUUACUCGCAGAAGAAGCACCGGCUGACGCCGUGCCAGCAGCCGCGGUAAUACGGAGGGUGCAAGCGUUAAUCGGAAUUACUGGGCGUAAAGCGCACGCAAGCGGUCUGUCAAGUCGGAUGUGAAAUCCCCGGGCUCAACCUGGGAACUGCAUUCGAAACUGGCAGGCUAGAGUCUUGUAUGGGGGGUAGAAUUCCAGGUGUAGCGGUGAAAUGCGUAGAGAUCUGGAGGAAUACCGGUGGCGAACGCGGCCCCCUGGACAAAGACUGACGCUCAAGUGCGAAAGCGUGGGGGAG
rnacentral:rRNA from 1 species